CUUGGAAGCUCUGACGACUGAAAGCAGCUUCUCCAUCUUCGGCAAGUGUAGAGUACAUCUCAAUUUCUGGCUCGCCCAGCUAGGAGGAGUAAGUCCUAGCCAUGUCUGUAGUAGCGCUACCCCCAGAUUACGGUCGAAGAUCCGGCUACGGCUGUUGAUAUUUUGUUCUGUUCUGUUCCGACUUCACAGUCGAUGAUCCAGCCUCGUGCUAUUGAUUUCUGUUAUUAGUCAGGGAGAUGUACAUGAUUGUUUUCUGCGCGUUUUCGCAUUUCUGAUUAUUUCUAUAUUCUGUCUUAAUUAUUAAUUAUUCUGCUAUAUCUGUAUUAUCUGUUAUUUUCUGCGAUCCUACUGGGCCCUUGUGGCUCAUGUACUCUGUAAAUUCUGUUCUCGCAGGAGAAUAUCAAGUCUAGGAUCGGGGGUGAUUUGGAGUCUUAUUUCAUGUUCUGAUAGUAUCUUUGUAGUGAAUUUCUUUGUGAGAGUAAGACUUGUAUCCGUCUGUAUAUUUUGGUCUGUAGACCGUUGUAUGACUCUGUAUUUCUGUAGGGCUGCUUAAGCUCUUUUAUGUAUUAUUUCGAUUCCUAUCAUCUUAUUUA